rnacentral:rRNA from 1 species
UGGGGAAUAUUGGACAAUGGGCGAAAGCCUGAUCCAGCCAUGCCGCGUGUGUGAAGAAGGUCUUCGGAUUGUAAAGCACUUUAAGUUGGGAGGAAGGGCAUUAACCUAAUACGUUAGUGUUUUGACGUUACCGACAGAAUAAGCACCGGCUAACUCUGUGCCAGCAGCCGCGGUAAUACAGAGGGUGCAAGCGUUAAUCGGAAUUACUGGGCGUAAAGCGCGCGUAGGUGGUCUGUUAAGUUGGAUGUGAAAUCCCCGGGCUCAACCUGGGAACUGCAUUCAAAACUGACUGACUAGAGUAUGGUAGAGGGUGGUGGAAUUUCCUGUGUAGCGGUGAAAUGCGUAGAUAUAGGAAGGAACACCA